rnacentral:rRNA from 1 species
AGUGAGCGCUGGCGGUAGGCCUAACACAUGCAAAUCGAACGGCAGCACAGUAAGAGCUUGCUCUUACGGGUGGCGAGUGGCGGACGGGUGAGGAAUACAUCGGAAUCUACUUUUUCGUGGGGGAUAACGUAGGGAAACUUACGCUAAUACCGCAUACGACCUACGGGUGAAAGCAGGGGAUCUUCGGACCUUGCGCGAUUGAAUGAGCCGAUGUCGGAUUAGCUAGUUGGCGGGGUAAAGGCCCACCAAGGCGACGAUCCGUAGCUGGUCUGAGAGGAUGAUCAGCCACACUGGAACUGAGACACGGUCCAGACUCCUACGGGAGGCAGCAGUGGGGAAUAUUGGACAAUGGGCGCAAGCCUGAUCCAGCCAUACCGCGUGGGUGAAGAAGGCCUUCGGGUUGUAAAGCCCUUUUGUUGGGAAAGAAAAGCAGCAGGUUAAUACCCCGCUGUUCUGACGGUACCCAAAGAAUAAGCACCGGCUAACUUCGUG